GGGGAGGCACUCGCUCCAACUUGGUUUUGCAGUGAAAACUGCGUUUACCUUGAAACCCACCCUAGGAAACAUGCUGAGAAAUCACAGGUAAUUGUUUCUAGA